rnacentral:ncRNA from 1 species
ACAAAUGCGAUGACGAGACGAGUAAAUAAACGAAUUCUUGUACAGAGAGCUCCGGCAGCUGAAAAGGGGCAAAGCGUUCUUUAUUGAAAAAAGACUCUGAGCAGCACAAGGAACUCUCAACGGAGGGGGAUGGUGUGCCAGGAGCUCCUGUUACAGAGCUAGAGUAUCUGCAUUCCAGUGUAAUGCCGUACUCGAUGAGGCGAAUAUGGUGACAUAUUGGCAAAUUUGGGGUGGUACCGCGAGUAUAACAAUCUCGUCCCUGAG